GGAACCUAUGUGGGACCUUCCAGCAGUUCCUUCUCUUCUGCACCAGGGUCCUAUCCUACACCCAGACCCAGCAUCACUCAACCUGGAGGUUGAAAGGGAAAGGCUUCUAGAGAAGAGUUUCUCGGUUGCAGUCACAUAUAACCUAUUACAGGCUCGGAAGCAUUCCUCUACCUACUAUAGAAUUUGGGACGCAUUUUCUUCCUGAGCCUCUCCUAAGUAGGUUAACAUACAGCAUCCUGCUAUUAAAGACAUCUUGGAGUUUCUACAAACCGGUCCGUAUAAGGAUUUGAGCUACAACACCUUAUAGGUACAUGUCUCUAAAAUUACCCCCAUGAUGGCAUACCAUUUGCA